CUCAGUCGGUAGAGCAUGAGACUCU
rnacentral:piRNA from 7 species